rnacentral:lncRNA from 1 species
GUUCGUUUCUGUGUGUGUAACAUUUUUACGUUGUGUUUCCGUUGUGUCGUUUGUUUUCUCUUAUAUUUUAGUGUGAAUUCACAUUACUAUAAGACGUGUCACGGUACUUUUCUAUCCCAAAUUCAUGUAUUUGGUUUUGAUGUUAUAUUUGUUAUUCUCAUCGAAUUGUGUCUAAUGCUUAGUCCGUUUCUGUGUGUGUUACAUUUUAAUGUUGUGUCGUUGUUCUCCUCUUAUAUUUAAUGCGUUUCCCUCAGUUUUGGUUUGUUA